rnacentral:sRNA from 1 species
GCCAUCCCUAUUCAGUGCAAGAGUUGUUCAUUGAUUUCUUCUCCAGUUUCCUAAACUUUCUUUUUCUUCCUUUCUCUCUCGUCCUCUACCUCUUCUCCUCUGCAGACAGACUUCAUGCUUCAGGUGUUUCAACCCAGUCCCUCUCUGGCUCCUCGGAUGCCCUUCUCCAUUGGGCAGGUCACAAUGCCCAUGGUUAUGCCCAGUGCAGAUCCCCGCUCCUUGUCUUUCCCAAUCCUGAACCCUGCCCUUUCCCAGCCCAGCCAGCCUUCCUCACCCCUUCCUGGCUCCCAUGGCAGAAAUAGCCCUGGCUUGGGUUCCCUUGUCAGCCCCCACGGUCCACACAUGCCCCCUGCCGCCUCCAUCCCGCCUCCCCCAGGCUUGGGCGGUGUUAAGGCUUCUGCUGAAACUCCCCGGCCCCAACCAGUAGACAAACUGGAGAAGAUCCUGGAGAAGCUGCUGACCCGGUUCCCACAGUGCAAUAAGGCCCAGAUGACCAACAUUCUUCAGCAGAUCAAGACAGCACGUACCACCAUGGCAGGCCUGACCAUGGAGGAACUUAUCCAGUUGGUUGCUGCACGACUGGCAGAACAUGAGCGGGUGGCAGCAAGUACUCAGCCACUUGGUCGCAUCCGGGCCUUGUUCCCUGCUCCACUGGCCCAAAUCAGUACCCCAAUGUUCUUGCCUUCUGCCCAAGUUUCAUAUCCUGGAAGGUCUUCACAUGCUCCAGCCACCUGUAAGCUGUGUCUAAUGUGCCAGAAACUCGUCCAGCCCAGUGAGCUGCAUCCAAUGGCGUGUACCCAUGUAUUGCACAAGGAGUGUAUCAAAUUCUGGGCCCAGACCAACACAAAUGACACUUGUCCCUUUUGUCCAACUCUUAAAUGACGGACCUGACUGGGGAGGAAGAAGAAGAGAAACUGAUGUGAACAGGAAGCGCGGGUUCAAGAUUUCUAAAACUCUAUAUUUAUACAGUGACAUAU